rnacentral:rRNA from 2 species
AACGAACGCUAAUACCGCAUAAUAUCUCCGGAUCAAAGAUUUAUCGCCUAGGGAUCAGCCCGCGUUGGAUUAGCUAGUUGGUGGGGUAACGGCCUACCAAGGCGACGAUCCAUAGCUGGUCUGAGAGGAUGAUCAGCCACACUGGGACUGAGACACGGCCCAGACUCCUACGGGAGGCAGCAGUAAGGAAUAUUGGACAAUGGGGGAAACCCUGAUCCAGCCAUGCCGCGUGAGUGAUGAAGGCCUUCGGGUUGUAAAGCUCUUUUAGGUGUGAAAAUGAUGAUGGUAGCACCAGAAAAAGCUCCGGCUAACUUCGUGCCAGCAGCCGCGGUAAUACGAAGGGAGCGAGCGUUGUUCGGAAUCACUGGGCGUAAAGCGUGCGUAGGCGGUUUUGUAAGACAGAAGUGAAAUCCUGGAGCUUAACUCCAGAAUUGCUUUUGUGACUGCAAAGCUUGAAUCCAGGAGAGGUUGGGGGAAUUCCGAGUGUAGAGGUGAAAUUCGCAGAUAUUCGGAGGAACACCAGUGGCGUAGGCGCCCAACUGGACUGGUAUUGACGCUGAGGCACGAAAGCGUGGGGAUCAAACAGGAUUAGAUACCCUGGUAGUCCACGCCGUAAACGAUGUGUGCUAGCUGUCGGGAGUCUUAGGCUUUCGGCGGCGCAGCUAACGCACUAAGCACACCGCCUGGGAAGUACGGCCGCAAGGU